GGAAUGCUGUAGCUCAGUGGUACAGCAUCUGCUUUACAUGCAGAAGGUCCCAGGUUCAAUCCCUGGCAAUUCCU